rnacentral:rRNA from 1 species
AGCGAACGCUGGCGGCAGGCCUAACACAUGCAAGUCGAACGAACCUUUCGGGGUUAGUGGCGGACGGGUGAGUAACACGUGGGAACGUGCCUUUAGGUUCGGAAUAACUCAGGGAAACUUGUGCUAAUACCGAAUGUGCCCUUCGGGGGAAAGAUUAAUCGCCUUUAGAGCGGCCCGCGUCUGAUUAGCUAGUUGGUUGAGGUAAUGGCUCACCAAGGCGACGAUCAGUAGCUGGUUUGAGAGGAUGAUUAGCCACAUUGGGACUGAGACACGGCCCAAACUCCUACGGAACGCAGCAGUGGAGAAUCUUGCGCAAUGGGCGAAAGCCUGACGCAGCCAUGCCGCGUGAAUGAUGAAGGUCUUAGGAUUGUAAAAUUCUUUCACCGGGGACGAUAAUGACGGUACCCGGAGAAGAAGCCCCGGCUAACUUCGUG